CAUAUACUCCCUCCGUCCGAAAAUACUUGUCAUCAAAAUGGAUAAAAAGAGAUGUAUCUAGAACUAAGAUACAUCUAGAUACAUCCCCUUUUAUUUAUUUUGAUGACAAGUAUUUCCGGACGAAGGGAGUAUGAU
rnacentral:pre_miRNA from 1 species